rnacentral:lncRNA from 1 species
GGGGAAGCACUGAAUACCUUCAUACAGACUAUUGGGGUGGCGUUCCAAUCUUCCCACACAGCCUUUUCAGACCUUGAGAUGAACAGAACAUGGAAUGACCCACCACAGGAUUAACUAUGACCAAGCAACAGUGAUGGCCAUCUUAGAGAACAGCUAACAUAUGACACCACUUCAAAAGCAGAAACAUUGCUUAGGAAACAAGCAGCAGAUGGAGGGAGAAGCACCUGUAACCUUUGUGAAGUCACAAAAUUUGUGUAAACCUGAUUCAGUAGCCACUGCAUUCAAUGAGGAGUUCCUAAUACUUCAUGCAACUUUGUAUGCUCAGUUCACAAAAUUCAAUCAAUAAUUAUGUGCAAACAUCAGACUUCAUUUGAAAACAGAAUGGUCUAUGAUCCACUGGAAAUGAAAGAGACUUAUCAUGCCUUGGUCUCUUAAGUAUUAACAACAUCUUUCUUCUGCAGUUGAUCUUCAUGUCAAACAUUAUAGGAAAGAGAACUGUGCCUUAUUAAUCACAGCCCUCCCUGAAUUGCUUCCAUAUAUAAAUUCUGCCCUUUGUGUUGACAAUUAUAUUUGCUAUUAUGAUACUGUGAGGCAGAUAGUACUUGGAAGCUCUCAGGUGGUCUUGGUGUUUUUGUUGAAAUUUAAUAACUAUCUUCAGGUAAAUGAUAAAUGUCACACUGGGUUGAAGAACUACCUAGUUGAAUACAAUACUGUCCUUCCUGAAGGGAAUUCCUUGCAGAAGACAGACGGUGCCUGAGUGACCCUGAAUGUGCUUUAUUGCAUAGUAUUUUUAGUGACUGCAACUGAGAUACUAAGACAAGGUCAACCAGAAAAAUACUUUUUAUAAUAAAAUUUUGUUUUGUCAUUUUGGUUAGUGUCA